rnacentral:pre_miRNA from 1 species
CUAGUACUCCCUCCGUUCCAAAUUACUCGUCGCUGAAAUGGAUGUAUCUAGAAAUAAAAUACAUCUAGAUACAUCCAUACGUGCGACAAGUAAUUCGGAACGGAGGGAGUACCUG